rnacentral:rRNA from 1 species
UACGGGGGGGGCAAGCGUUGUUCGGAAUUACUGGGCGUAAAGGGUUCGUAGGCGGCCAACUAAGUCAGACGUGAAAUCCCCCGGCUUAACCGGGGAACUGCGUCUGAUACUGGAUGGCUCGAGUUUGGGAGAGGGAUGCGGAAUUCCAGGUGUAGCGGUGAAAUGCGUAGAUAUCUGGAGGAACACCGGUGGCGAAGGCGGCAUCCUGGACCAACACUGACGCUGAGGAGCGAAAGCCAGGGGAGCAAACGGG